UACGGGGGGGGCAAGCGUUGUUCGGAAUUACUGGGCGUAAAGGGCUCGUAGGCGGCCAACUAAGUCAUACGUGAAAUCCCUCGGCUUAACCGGGGAACUGCGUCUGAUACUGGAUGGCUUGAGUUCGGGAGAGGGAUGCAGAAUUCCAGGUGUAGCGGUGAAAUGCGUAGAUAUCUGGAGGAAUACCGGUGGCGAAGGCGGCAUCCUGGACCGACAUUGACGCUGAGGAGCGAAAGCCAGGGGAGCAAACGGG
rnacentral:rRNA from 1 species